GGAAAAAAGUGCAAGGUAAAAAAGGACACACACACACACACACACGUCAUGCACGCAAAACUAACAAGAACAAACGAAAGGAAAACAGCAAGCAGGAGUUGACCAGAUAAAUAGGUAAGAAAGGGGUAGAGGAAGAAUAUGUUGGAAGAUCCAGAGGAAGGAGAUCUUGUAGAACACCCAGAGACAGGAAAGAAGGUCUGGCAAGGGCUGGAGAGGUGGGGUCCCUAACACACAGCCACGGAGAUCAUGUUCUGGAGGCCAGAAGUCCAAGAUCAAGGUGCCAGCAGAUUCAGUUUCUGGUGAGAGGUUUCACUCUGUUAGCCAGGAUGGUCUCGAUCUCCUGACCUCGUAAUCUGCCUGCCUCGGCCUCUCAAAGUGCUGGGAUUACAGGCGUGAGCCACCGCGCCUGGCUGAUAAAAUAUUAUUAAUAAUAAUAUCUACAUGGGCAUUGGAGCUGGCUGUCACUACCCGCUUAUUCUCCCAGGAAGGCAUAUUCUUUGAUCACGAAUAUCUCUGCAGGCCUCUGUAAUUAACUUUCUCAGCCCUGAUUGACCCUAGGGGAUUGGCAAGACAGUGUCACUAUUUUCCUGCUUUUACAGAAGAGAAAAAUAGAGGUUUAGGAAAAUUAAGGGGCAUGCCCACGGGUGGCUGAGCUGGCCUUCUGUGUCCCAGCCCUGUCAGUUACCACUCCAUACCUCCCAAAGCCUAGAUUUUAAGCCACGCCACUGUACCCAGGGCCUAGUGCAGUGACUGGUGAGAAGGAGAAUGGUUAGUAAUGGUUGUUGAAUGAAUACAUGAGUGAAUGAAUGCCUUCUGGAAAGUCUUUUCAGGAGAGGGCCUUAGCUGCAGGGGCCAGACCCCAGGAUACCCUGUUCCCCCUUGAGAGACCACCCAAAGAUGCUUUCUCUGGUCAGGGCUCUACCUUAGCUGGGAGCCCAUGAGGAGAGGAGAAAAAGGGUUCCAGGCAAGGGGAAAAAGAGUCUCAUACAGCAGCAUCUCCUGAGUACAGCACUUAACAGUUUGCAAAGCCCUUGCAUUCACUGCCUCUCCCUGGGAUUUCAGAGGAGCUCUUCA
rnacentral:lncRNA from 1 species